AUUGAACGCUGGCGGCAGGCUUAACACAUGCAAGUCGAGCGAGAGGCGGACGGGUGAGUAAUUUCUGGGAAACUGCCUGAUGGAGGGGGAUAACAAAUGGAAAAGGUAGCUAAUAUCGCAUACCAGAAGAUGUGACCAGAUGGGAUUAGCUAGUAGGUGGGGUAAGGGCUCACCUAGGCGACGAUCACUAGCUGGUCUGAGAGGAUGACCAGCCACACUGGAACUGAGACACGGUCCAGACUCCUACGGGAGGCAGCAGUGGGGAAUAUUGCACAAUGGGCGCAAGCCUGAUGCAGCCAUGCCGCGUGUGUGAAGAAGGCCUUCGGGUUGUAAAGCACUUGCAGCGAGGAGGCGUUACUCGCAGAAGAAGCACCGGCUAACUCCGUGCCAGCAGCCGCGGUAAUAC
rnacentral:rRNA from 1 species